AACGAACGCUGGCGGCGUGGUUUAGGCAUGCAAGUCGAGCGCGAAAGUCCCUUCGGGGGCGAGUAGAGCGGCGAAAGGGUGAGUAAUGCUUGGGUAACUUACCCCCUGGACCGGGAUAGCCACUGGAAACGGUGGGUAAUACCGGAUGGUCUCGCGAACACUGCGGUGGUUGCGAGUAAAUGCGGGGGCCUUCGGGCCUCGCGCCAAGGGAGAGACCCGAGUUCUACCAGCUUGUUGGUGAGGUAAUGGCUCACCAAGGCGAAGACGGAUAGCCGGACUGAGAGGUUGGCCGGCCACACUGGCACUGAGACACUGGCCAGACUCCUACGGGAGGCUGCAGUCGAGAAUCUUCCGCAAUGGACGAAAGUCUGACGGAGCGACGCCGCGUGGAGGAAGAAGGCCUUCGGGUUGUAAACUCCUGUCAGAGCUUAUGAAUGUGCACGGGCUAAUACCCCGUUGUAUUGACAAAGGGCUCAAAGGAAGCCACAGCUAACUUCGUGCCAGCAGCUGCGGUAAUACGAAGGUGGCGAGCGUUGUUCGGAUUCACUGGGCAUAAAGGGCGCGUAGGCGGCUUGGUAAGCGGAUUGUGAAAGCCCGGGGCUCAACCCCGGAACUGCACUCCGAACUGCCAAGCUAGAGAGCGAGAGGGGGCUGUGGAACUCUAGGUGGAGCGGUGAAAUGCGUAGAUAUCUAGAGGAACACCGGUGGCGAAGGCGACAGCCUGGCUCGUUUCUGACGCUGAGGCGCGAAAGCGUGGGUAGCAAACAG
rnacentral:rRNA from 1 species